GAUGAACGCUGGCGGCGUGCUUAACACAUGCAAGUCGAACGGAAAGGCCUCUGCUUGCAGGGGUACUCGAGUGGCAAACGGGUGAGUAACACGUGGGUGAUCUGCCCUGCACUUCGGGAUAAGCCUGGGAAACUGGGUCUAAUACCGGAUAGGACAAUGGUUUGGAUGCUGUUGUGGAAAGUUUUUCGGUGUGGGAUGAGCUCGCGGCCUAUCAGCUUGUUGGUGGGGUAAUGGCCUACCAAGGCGUCGACGGGUAGCCGGCCUGAGAGGGUGUACGGCCACAUUGGGACUGAGAUACGGCCCAGACUCCUACGGGAGGCAGCAGUGGGGAAUAUUGCACAAUGGGCGCAAGCCUGAUGCAGCGACGCCGCGUGGGGGAUGACGGCCUUCGGGUUGUAAACUCCUUUCGCUAGGGACGAAGCGUUUUUGUGACGGUACCUGGAGAAGAAGCACCGGCUAACUACGUG
rnacentral:rRNA from 1 species